rnacentral:snRNA from 1 species
UAAUUACAUAGGUAUGCCA